rnacentral:rRNA from 1 species
UACAGAGGUCCCGAGCGUUUGUUCGGAUUCAUUGGGCGUAAAGGGUGCGUAGGCGGCGGGGCAAGUCUGAUGUGAAAUCCCGGGGCUCAACCCCGGAACUGCAUUGGAUACUGCCUUGCUAGAGUACUGGAGGAGGACUGGAAUUUACGGUGUAGCAGUGAAAUGCGUAGAGAUCGUAAGGAAGGCCAGUGGCGAAGGCGAGUUCCUGGACAGUUACUGACGCUGAGGCACGAAGGCCAGGGGGAGCAAACGGG